rnacentral:lncRNA from 1 species
GAGCUUGCCUAUAGUUACUAGGAAUAUCACCAAGAAGACCCUGCAGUUUGGAGCUUUAUGGCAUAUGAGGUGACAGAUCUACAAGGACCGUGCCACUAACACCACAGGGUGGGCAACUUCUAUUUCAUGGAAGAAAAAGACAGACCGAUGACGACUUCAUAAGAAUCUCUGGGACUACCCUCUUGCAUUUAAAACCAUCUCCUUCCAAUAAAAUAAAGAAUACAAGGUCUAUAUUAGAAGAAUUCUUAUAUAGCAAUGAGGAUUGUGAAAGAAGCUAACAAUAUCUUUAGAGAAGAUGGCAGCCGGCUGGGAUCUGGAAGUAACUUGGUCACAUGGGGAGUUAUGGACAAAGACAUCAAGCUGGAUUCCGAGAUUUGUGACAAAACAACUGUGGGACUUCAGGAAAGUCACUUCACCUCUUUGGGUCUCAGCAUCUUCAUCUGCAAAAUGAGGAGUUUGAAUUCUCUAAGACAAAAAAUGUCUCAGAAAGACUUGUAGCUGUGGCUAUUGACCAUUGAAGUGGGCUGGAGUAAGAUUAAAACAUUAAAAAAGCAAAACCAACAAAGAAAAACUGUAAUUGUCCUAGAUAGAUCUAAAGUGCUUUUUAGGUCCUCAAUUUCCCUUGAACAGGAAACGGUCUUAGCAAGUUAAGUGUGGACUACUCACUGGUGCGUGUCUCUGAACUCUUUGCACUGGUCCUUGACAAGAUAAAUACAGAAACUGAGAAGUGUUUAGAAACAUUUAAAUCUGCUUGACAUUGCUGUGACAUCCAAGUGAGCAGCAACAUGAGGAGUGGGGCUCACACUGAGUGGGGUGCAGGCUAGUGAGGUGUUGCCGAACUUGUGCGUGGGGGGUGGUGGGUGCUAUGAGCUGUGGACCAGUCAGUUC